GAUGAACGCUAGCGGCAGGCCUAAUACAUGCAAGUCGAACGGUGUCUUCGGACAUAGUGGCGCACGGGUGCGUAACACGUAUGCAACCUACCUUACAUUGGGGGAUAGCCUUUCGAAAGGGAGAUUAAUACCGCAUAAGACAGUAGCUGGGCAUCCAGCAGCUGUUAAAGAUUUAUCGAUGUAAGCUGGGCAUGCGUCCAAUUAGCUAGUUGGUGAGGUAACGGCUCACCAAGGCAAUGAUUGGUAGGGGAACUGAGAGGUCAAUCCCCCACACGGGGACUGAGAUACGGGCCAGACUCCUACGGGAGGCAGCAUUAGGGAAUAUUGGGAAAUGGACGCAAGUCUGACCCAGCCAUGCCGCGUGCAGGAUUAAGGCGUUAUGCGUUGUAAACUGCUGUUAUACAGGAAGAAACGACUCUUGCGAGAGGCAUUGACGGUACUGUAUGAAUAAGCACCGGCUAACUCCGUGCCAGCAGCCGCAGUAAAAC
rnacentral:rRNA from 1 species